GAUGAACGCUGGCGGCGUGCCUAAUACAUGCAAGUCGAGCGAACAGACGAGGAGCUUGCUCCUCUGACGUUAGCGGCGGACGGGUGAGUAACACGUGGAUAACCUACCUAUAAGACUGGGAUAACUUCGGGAAACCGGAGCUAAUACCGGAUAAUAUAUUGAACCGCAUGGUUCAAUAGUGAAAGACGGUUUUGCUGUCUCUUAUAGAUGGAUCCGCGCCGCAUUAGCUAGUUGGUAAGGUAACGGCUUACCAAGGCAACGAUGCGUAGCCGACCUGAGAGGGUGAUCGGCCACACUGGAACUGAGACACGGUCCAGACUCCUACGGGAGGCAGCAGUAGGGAAUCUUCCGCAAUGGGCGAAAGCCUGACGGAGCAACGCCGCGUGAGUGAUGAAGGUCUUCGGAUCGUAAAGCUCUGUUAUUAGGGAAGAACAAAUGUGUAAGUAACUAUGCACGUCUUGACGGUACCUAAUCAGAAAGCCACGGCUAACUACGUG
rnacentral:rRNA from 1 species